rnacentral:rRNA from 1 species
GAAUGGUGGAUGCCUUGACUGGUAAAGGCGAUGAAGGACGUACUAGACUGCGAUAAGCUACGGGGAGCUGUCAAGAAGCUUUGAUCCGUAGAUUUCCGAAUGGGGCAACCCAAUGUAUAGAGAUAUACAUUACCUAUAUAGGAGCGAACGAGGGGAAUUGAAACAUCUUAGUACCCUCAGGAAAAGAAAUCAAUAGAGAUUGCGUCAGUAGCGGCGAGCGAAAGCGCAAGAGGGCAAACCCAGUGCUUGCACUGGGGGUUGUAGGACUGCAAUGUGCAAGAGGUAAGUUUAGCAGAACAUUCUGGAAAGUAUAGCCAUAGAGGGUGAUAGUCCCGUAUGCGAAAAACAAACCUUAGCUAGCAGUAUCCUGAGUAGGGCGGGACACGAGGAAUCCUGUCUGAAUCCGGGUCGACCACGAUCCAACCCUAAAU